GGGGAGAUGGCCGAGCGGUCAAUGGCAACAGACUGUAAAUCUGUCCUCGUUAGAGUUCGAAGGUUCGAAUCCUUCUCUCCCCACCA
rnacentral:tRNA from 1 species